AAUAAUCGAUUGUUUUAAGUAAAAUCUGAAAAAGAUUUUUUGAACGUUGCCAAGUAAUCGAUUGUAUAAUUCUGACAAUCGAUUUUUUUAAGUAAAAUCUGAAAAAGAUUUUUUGAACGUUGCCAAGUAAUCGAUUUUAUAAUUCUGACAAUCGAUUGUUUUAAGUAAAAUCUGGAAAAGAUUUUUUUAACGUUGCCAGUAAUCGAUUAUAUGUCUUAGAUAAUCGAUUGUUAUGCGUAAAAUCUGGGAAUGAUUUUUGGAAC
rnacentral:lncRNA from 1 species